UACGUAGGGACCAAGCGUUGUCCGGAAUCAUUGGGCGUAAAGCGCGCGUAGGUGGCCAUUUAAGUCCGCUGUGAAAGUCAGAGGCUCAACCUUUGAAAGCCGGUGGAUACUGGAUGGCUAGAGUACGGAAGAGGCGAGUGGAAUUCCUGGUGUAGCGGUGGAAUGCGCAGAUAUCGGGAGGAACACCUGUGGCGAAAGCGGCGCACUGGACCACAACUGACGCUGAGGCGCGAAAGCUAGGGGAGCAAACAGG
rnacentral:rRNA from 1 species